rnacentral:rRNA from 1 species
CCUACGGGCGACAGCAGUGGGGAAUAUUGGACAAUGGGGGGAACCCUGAUCCAGCGACGCCGCGUGAGUGAAGAAGUAUUUCGGUAUGUAAAGCUCUAUCAGCAGGGAAGAAAGAAAUGACGGUACCUGACUCAGAAGCCCCGGCUAACUACGUGCCAGCAGCCGCGGUAAUACGUAGGGGGCAAGCGUUAUCCGGAUUUACUGGGUGUCAAGGGAGCGUAGGCGGCAGCGCAAGUCUGGAGGGAAAUGCCGGGGCCCAACCCCGGAACUGGCCUUGAAACUGUGAAGCUGGAGUGCAGGAGAGGUAAGCGGAAUGCGUGGUGUAGCGGUGAAAUGCGUAGAUAUCAGGCGGAACACCGGCGGCGAAGGCGGCGUACUGGACUGUAACUGACGUUGAGGCUCGAAGGCGUGGGGAGCGAACAGGAUUAGAUACCCCGGUAGUC